UCGUGCUCCAGUGGAUGUUACGGCCAGCAUUGUAACAUUACAUGUCCUGGCACUUGUAGCAAGAUCAAAUACGGACCUUCCUGUCAUGACGAGAGUGGGGCGUGCUUAUUGGACUGUCCGGUCGGGUUUUAUGGCCUACGAUGUGCAAACGUGUGCCACCAUUGUGUGGACGACAUAUGCAUGAAGGAUGACGGUGUCUGCACUUAUGGUGCAUUAAGGGAUACAGCUAUGACGAUGUUGGCAAAAUGUGCAUAGCAGGUACCAACGACACGUUUAUGGAUCGCAGCCGCGCCCUUGUGUCUUCCACUUCUACAGUCGGUGUCGUACUCGGAGUUGUUUCGGGAGUUGUCGUGCUUAUUGGCUGCGUGGUCAUGGCAGCUAUUUGUUACAGAAGAAAGGGGCAAAAAACUUUUAAUGACUCGGAAGUGCACCCUCCUGUUGAGUUGCCAGCCAUUUCUAAUUCCACGUACGAAAUGUUUGAAGAUAUGUCUGGAAAGCGACCUGCGAAUAAUAACAAGUUUCCAGCACUGGGUGCCCAGAUUCAAAGACUUCUCGGGAAAAACAACACAACCUCACCAAGUGUUUCAAAUUUAGGAUGCGUGAGCGAAAACUUUGGAAGCUCUGAUGUAGAUGUUAACUACAUUACACCGAUCAACAGUAACAUGUACGACAGUAUAGACGGGGAUCAAGAAACGUCCGUGGCUCCGAUAGGACUGGUUCAUAAUUCAGCUCCGUCAUCAAACACAGCAAAGUCCCCGAGUAUAUUCUUUCGAGAGCCAGGUACCAUCCAUCCUAACAUCGAAACACACAGAGAGUAUCACAACGUCGAUUUACCGGUUUCUCAAGUUAGAACAACAAACAGUCUAAUGAUCCCGUCCACAUCCGACGGGUACGAAGCUGUCGGGUACGAAGGAAACAUUUACACAGACCCGGACAAUCUUGUGUUUUAAUCGAGCAAGAAAUAGACAGUGUUUUUGACUUUCUACUAUAUCCACACACGCAAGUGUUGGACCUUUCAAGACAGCGAAUACAAUUGGGAGUAUACUACCUAAAGUUACGUCACUGACAAAAUAGUCAAUACCUACUGUGCAGCCUACGUGCAAAAAACUCAGUAAGCAAGUCACGAACAGAUAACAAUAAAGCGCCACUUAAGUUUGGUGGGGAUGGUGGAGACAAAUUAAAUACCGGUUAAAACCGCCGGCUUAAAUAUCAACUUGGGCUUUAAUGUGCGAAAACGUGGAGUGCUUACGGUACAAUUAGGCUUAUUAUCCAUGGCAUCAAACAUUAUAUAGUUAUACACAAUGUGUGCAAGUUUGGUCGAGAUUUAAUGUAAAAUAGCGUUCCUUGCUAUUCCUAUCAAUUAAGAGUUGACGCGUUGUGGACGUCGGAUUUAUUUUCGGAGUACACUUUUUAAAGUAAUGUAUUCAAUAAAAUACCUUAUCGUGCAGCUUACUUGCAAAAGACACAGUUAUCAUGUUACUUUCUGCAACACACAACAAAGCAUAUUCCACAAUUGUGCACGUCGGAUUUAUUUUCGGAGUACACUUUCUAAACUAAUGUAUUCAAUAAUAUACCCUAUCGUGCAGCUUAUUUGCAAAAUACACGGUUAUCAUGUUACUUUCUGCAACACACAACAAAGCAUAUUCCACAAAUGACUCGUUGGGAUGAAAGCAAAGACCGUUGUAUUCAGCGGUCACAAAUUCAAUGUUUGCCUUUUAUUUUGGUAAACGAAUGGGCAAAAACUCAAGUAGACAAUAUGGCUUACGAUCGAUUAAAUACAUUUGUAUAUGACUUAACAAAAUAUGUGCAAGUUUGUUCAAAAUGAAAUUAAAAAUGAAGUUUCUAUCAUACCUCGGUCCUAGUAUCAUCUUUAUAAUAUGUACGACGGAUGGUUUAUUUUAGGGUACCCUUUAGGCUUACACAAGAAAACGUGUUCCCUAAUCACCCAUGGUUGUAGGAGCAAAGGGAAAUAACUCCAUUAAACAAUUUCAAUAGGUGUUUUAAUCAUUAAUGUACAAGAUUAUAUUGCUAUACGCAAUUUUAGCAAGUUUGGUCAAUAUUGAGUGAAAACUAAAGUUUAUAUCACAACAA